CUGCCCACUCCGGGGACCAUCUUGGAAAGGGGGAAUCUCAGGAUAUGUCAAGAGGUGCCCAGGCUCAGACUGCCCUCACCUUUUCCAACAGGCCCGUCUAGCCUCCCUGGAGCAGCAGCUCAGAGCAGAGGAGGUCUUCAUCUCCCACCUGUCCUCCGAAAGGAGCGUCCCUCUCCCAUGAAGCAGGGCAGAGAUUCCUUCCUGACCCAGCUGGUCCCAGCGCCCACCCUGGAGCAUGUGGGUGGAGGGGCCUGGCCAACCUCCUUUUCAGCAGACGAAGGCCACGAGGAGGAGGAGGAGGACGGCGGCUGCUGCGCUAACCCCGGCGAUGAUGGGGCUGGUCUGACCCGGAGGUGCCGGCGAUUCUGAUCCGCCUGGGAUACAGCAGAAGCCUGAGAGCCGGGAGCGGCUGGUCUGUUCUCUCCCCAGCCCCUCCCACCCCAG